UGCUUGCAUCAUGAUUUACAUUUGAGUGAGUGGCGAACUGGUGAGUAACACGUGGGAAACCUGCCCAGAAGCGGGGGAUAACACCUGGAAACAGAUGCUAAUACCGCAUAACAACUUGGACCGCAUGGUCCGAGUUUGAAAGAUGGCUUCGGCUAUCACUUUUGGAUGGUCCCGCGGCGUAUUAGCUAGAUGGUGGGGUAACGGCUCACCAUGGCAAUGAUACGUAGCCGACCUGAGAGGGUAAUCGGCCACAUUGGGACUGAGACACGGCCCAAACUCCUACGGGAGGCAGCAGUAGGGAAUCUUCCACAAUGGACGAAAGUCUGAUGGAGCAACGCCGCGUGAGUGAAGAAGGGUUUCGGCUCGUAAAACUCUGUUGUUAAAGAAGAACAUAUCUGAGAGUAACUGUUCAGGUAUUGACGGUAUUUAACCAGAAAGCCACGGCUAACUACGUGCCAGCAGCCGCGGUAAUACGUAGGUGGCAAGCGUUGUCCGGAUUUAUUGGGCGUAAAGCGAGCGCAGGCGGUUUUUUAAGUCUGAUGUGAAAGCCUUCGGCUCAACCGAAGAAGUGCAUCGGAAACUGGGAAACUUGAGUGCAGAAGAGGACAGUGGAACUCCAUGUGUAGCGGUGAAAUGCGUAGAUAUAUGGAAGAACACCAGUGGCGAAGGCGGCUGUCUGGUCUGUAACUGACGCUGAGGCUCGAAAGUAUGGGUAGCAAACAGGAUUAGAUACCCUGGUAGUCCAUACCGUAAACGAUGAAUGCUAAGUGUUGGAGGGUUUCCGCCCUUCAGUGCUGCAGCUAACGCAUUAAGCAUUCCGCCUGGGGAGUACGGCCGCAAGGCUGAAACUCAAAGGAAUUGACGGGGGCCCGCACAGCGGUGGAGCAUGUGGUUUAAUUCGAAGCUACGCGAAGAACCUUACCAGGUCUUGACAUACUAUGCAAAUCUAAGAGAUUAGACGUUCCCUUCGGGGACAUGGAUACAGGUGGUGCAUGGUGUCGUCAGCUCGUGUCGUGAGAUGUUGGGUUAAGUCCCGCAACGAGCGCAACCCUUAUUAUCAGUUGCCAGCAUUAAGUUGGGCACUCUGGUGAGACUGCCGGUGACAAACCGGAGGAAGGUGGGGAUGACGUCAAAUCAUCAUGCCCCUUAUGACCUGGGCUACACACGUGCUACAAUGGAUGGUACAACGAGUUGCGAACUCGCGAGAGUAAGCUAAUCUCUUAAAGCC
rnacentral:rRNA from 2 species